rnacentral:lncRNA from 1 species
UUCAGGUUAAAGUUUUUGGUCAAGGUAGUUUUUGAUGAAGCUGAAGUCCAAUCAACUUGAAACUUAGUACACUUGUUACUUAUGAUAUGAUCUUUCUAAUUUUAAUGCCAAAUUAGAUAAUUACCCAAUUUCACGGUCCAUGGAACAUGGAAAAGGAUAGUGCGAGUGGGGCAUCCGUGUACUUUGGACACAUUCUUGUUGGGUAAUAUUUUCUUUCAAAAAUCUUUAUUUUGCAAUUAAACCAAAACUUAACUGAAAUGUACUAAUCAACGUAAUGUAAGAGAACUUGUUUAUAUAUCUUAAAUGCUUAUGUUCAGACAUUUAUAGAUUAUGACAUCAAAAAAACAUGAGUUAAAGUAUUUUUCUUGAAACUUAUUAUUUACUUGAGGGAAAAAAUUUCCCUAUUGUAAAUCUUGAAAUUUUGACAGGUUGUUAUUUUCAUUCUUUUAAUCAUAAAAUUGUUGCUCUUGCCUAGCAUUUCCAAGUUGAAGGAUAAGUGUGCCAUUCACAUCAUAUUGUUUAUUUUUUUUUUUAACUUUUUUUCAUGCAUCUUAGGUGACGGAAAUAUUUAAAAAGUAAAAAUAACCCAUGUAAAAUACAAUAUAUUAUCCUAUGUAUGUUUUUUCCCCAUAUAAUGUUGUAGUUUAGCUCAUUUAUACACAAAAUGCACACUACUGGUACAUUAUUGGGCACUUUUUUUAAACAAGAGAGUCUAUUCAAAAGUUCAAUCACUUUUUCUAUGUUUUUUUUUUAUAUAAUGCAUUCCAUAUUUUUCUAGAUUAUAAGAUACUCAUGUAUGUAGUUAUAAACAAUGAGUUUGUUUGAUGUGUUGUUGUAGAGGAUUAUUGACAUCCAAAGAAUAAUUUAUGAACAGUAUUGCAUGUCAAUAACAUUUUAGAGAAGAAAUAUUUACAAUUUUCUAAUCUUGUUAUGUAAACAUGCUGUUUACACCAUUUCAGCUACCUUAUGCUUUUGGUAAAUAGUGAGCUAAACAGUUGUAAAUAUUUUGUAAAUAAAUUUCUGCUGAGUCACUUUCUAAAACAACCAAUAUUACCUUAAAAAAACUCAAAGCUACUAAACUCACUUGUGACAUUGUGGCUCCACCUAUUUGAAUGUUACUAUUUUUAAAUGCUUCAUUGGUAGAUUUUAUAGAUAUUUUUCUUUACUUUUUCAUCAGUCUUUUGUUUACAAUUGCUCUUACUGUAUUUGCUAUAACACUUUUGUUAGGAUCUAUUUUAGUAGAAAUCAUGUUAAUCAAAUCUCCAGUUUAUUUGAAUGUUAUGAUUAUAGUUUCAUUCUGACAGGGAACAUCAGUUUGAUGUAUAAUUAGUGCAAUAAUUAAUACAAUUAAGUAUGGAAGAAAGUAUGAAUAAUUUUCAAUGAUACUUCAAAGGCUUUUUCAAGGUUCUUUAUACACAAGAACCGUCUGAUAUAUUUGCUGAUGCAAUGCAUCUUUACGUUAGUGUUGAAAGAAGGUCUAGAUGUUUACAUAUUUAUCAUACAGACUGAUUAAUAGAAGAUUAUGGAAGAAAUUGUUUUUUCUUAACGAUUCCUUAAAAGUGGGAUAUUUUUGCAGAACACAGUUUAAUGCAUAGUUUUUUUUAAAUUUGUAUCACACAGACUGAAUAGUCUGAUAUGUCAAUAUAAUCAUGCAAAAUAUUGUCAUUUCUUAAUCAUUUCAUUUUUUUUCAAAUUGAAUAUAUACUGAUAAAGAUGUAGUGCAACUUACAGCAAGCAUUUUAGAAACAUUUUAAAUUUGUAUUUUACAAGCUAAGUAAUUUGUCUGAUUCAAUCACAUGGUCAUUCAUGAUAUUGUCUUUUUCAAUCAUUUCAUAUUCUUUUCAAACUU